rnacentral:misc_RNA from 1 species
AAAGUCGUAACAAGGUUUCCGUAGGUGAACCUGCGGAAGGAUCAUUACCGAGUUAGGGUCCCUCCUUCGGGGCCCGACCUCCCAACCCUGUGUCUAUUGUCACCUCAGUUGCUUCGGUGGGCCGGAUGCGACCAACUGGUCGUUCAACCGCCGGUCUUAUGGGCUGGAGAGCUGCCCGCCGAUGGCCUCGACAUCAAACUCUUUGUACCGAAAAUUGUCGUCUGAAUUGAUUAGAUUUGAAUCAAAAACAAAACUUUCAACAACGGAUCUCUUGGUUCUG